GAUCCCUGCCCUCAAGGAGCCUCAGUCUAGUAGGGCUGGGACAUACUAGACUGUGAGCUCCUCGAGGGCAGGAAAG
rnacentral:pre_miRNA from 1 species